UACGUAGGUCCCGAGCGUUGUCCGGAUUUAUUGGGCGUAAAGCGAGCGCAGGUGGUUUAAUAAGUCUGAUGUAAAAGGCAGUGGCUCAACCAUUGUGUGCAUUGGAAACUGUUAGACUUGAGUGCAGUAGAGGAGAGUGGAAUUCCAUGUGUAGCGGUGAAAUGCGUAGAUAUAUGGAGGAACACCGGUGGCGAAGGCGGCUUCCUGGACUGUAACUGACGCUGAGGCACGAAAGCGUGGGGAGCAAACAGG
rnacentral:rRNA from 1 species